CUCUGCUCAGGACGAACGCUGGCGGCGUGCCUAAUACAUGCAAGUCGAACGAACUCUGGUAUUGAUUGGUGCUUGCAUCAUGAUUUACAUUUGAGUGAGUGGCGAACUGGUGAGUAACACGUGGGAAACCUGCCCAGAAGCGGGGGAUAACACCUGGAAACAGAUGCUAAUACCGCAUAACAACUUGGACCGCAUGGUCCGAGCUUGAAAGAUGGCUUCGGCUAUCACUUUUGGAUGGUCCCGCGGCGUAUUAGCUAGAUGGUGGGGUAACGGCUCACCAUGGCAAUGAUACGUAGCCGACCUGAGAGGGCAAUCGGCCACAUUGGGACUGAGACACGGCCCAAACUCCUACGGGAGGCAGCAGUAGGGAAUCUUCCACAAUGGACGAAAGUCUGAUGGAGCAACGCCGCGUGAGUGAAGAAGGGUUUCGGCUCGUAAAACUCUGUUGUUAAAGAAGAACAUAUCUGAGAGUAACUGUUCAGGUAUUGACGGUAUUUAACCAGAAAGCCACGGCUAACUACGUGCCAGCAGCCGCGGUAAUACGUAGGUGGCAAGCGUUGUCCGGAUUUAUUGGGCGUAAAGCGAGCGCAGGCGGUUUUUUAAGUCUGAUGUGAAAGCCUUCGGCUCAACCGAAGAAGUGCAUCGGAAACUGGGAAACUUGAGUGCAGAAGAGGACAGUGGAACUCCAUGUGUAGCGGUGAAAUGCGUAGAUAUAUGGAAGAACACCAGUGGCGAAGGCGGCUGUCUGGUCUGUAACUGACGCUGAGGCUCGAAAGUAUGGGUAGCAAACAGGAUUAGAUACCCUGGUAGUCCAUACCGUAAACGAUGAAUGCUAAGUGUUGGAGGGUUUCCGCCCUUCAGUGCUGCAGCUAACGCAUUAAGCAU
rnacentral:rRNA from 1 species